UUAAAGUUUCGGGUAUGGGUCCGGAUAUUUUAUACCCAUAUCCGAUUUGGACUCGAUCCGAACCUAACUUUUAAAUGGGUAGAGUCCAGAAUAUUUUUCAAAUCCGGAUCCAGACCCGGACCCGAUGAAAUAUCCGAUAGUAAAUAAAAAAAAAUAAACUUUUGAAGUUGAAGGAUCAAUUUUAAUAUGACUUAUAGAUGAUGAGUCACUACGUAUUUUCGUCCUAAUGAAAUUCUAGCCGUCUCUUUUACUCAUUACUUUUUUCUAAUUUUUUUACUCUUUGUUUUCUACUCUUUUUUUUUCACUUCAUUUUCGCCGACAAUAUUUCAUUGUCAUCAUCAUCAUCAGUGUCAUCAUCAUCAUCAGCGACAAUAUUUCUUUUGAAUGAAUUUUAUUGGACGGUACAAUUUAUUAGAAUGCGAGUUUUUUUAUGGUGGGCUUUAUAGUUUGUCUAUUGACUAUUUAAUGAAGUUUAUAAAAAAAAAUAUUUAUACGGAUAUUCCUAUCCGAUCUAAACCCGAUCUAUAUCCGGUCUUGAACGGAUAGUAUACGGGUAGUCACUACCCAGAUUCGCUCAAAUAGACCCGAUGGGUAUAUUAGUAACUUUAGUACCCAAAUCCGGAUCCGACCCAAAGUUAAAUGGGUAGGGUAUAUAUAUUUUUUUGUAACCAUUUUUUUUUAGGGUAUGGAUACAGUAUAUUAAUUACCCAGACCCGAUCCGGUCCACGGACAUCUUUACCCCCGCCUAUAGUGGUUAGUAUAGUAGUACUAUCUUUCCCCUUUACCCAACUUGAGUUAUGAGUAUGAAUGAGAUUUCUUUCUUUAUCUGUAAGAAAGAAGAAAAAAAGU
rnacentral:lncRNA from 1 species